rnacentral:rRNA from 1 species
CCUACGGGAGGCAGCAGUGAGGAAUAUUGGUCAAUGGACGAGAGUCUGAACCAGCCACGCAGCGUGAAGGAAGACUGAUCUAUGGGUUGUAAGCUUCAUUUAUAUGGGAAGAAAACAGGGCAUGAAUACCCUCAUGUAUGCACCAUAUGAAUAAGGAACGGCUAACUACGUGCCAUCAGCUGCGGUAAUACGGAGGAUCUGAGCGUUAUCCGGAUUGAUUGGGUUUAAAGGGAGCGUAGAUGGGUUGUUAAGUCAGUUGUGAAAGGUUGCGGCUCAACCGUAAGAUUGCAGUUGAAACUGGAAGGCUGGAGUACAGUAGAGGUAAGCGGAAUUCGUGGUGUAGCGGUGAAAUGCUUAGAUAUCACGAGGAACUCCAGUUGCGAAGGCGGCUCACUGGACUGCAACUGACACUGAGGCUCGAAAGUGUGGGUAGCAAACAGGAUUAGAUACCCGGGUAGUC